GAUGAACGCUGGCGGCGUGCCUAAUACAUGCAAGUCGAGCGAACAGACGAGGAGCUUGCUCCUCUGACGUUAGCGGCGGACGGGUGAGUAACACGUGGAUAACCUACCUAUAAGACUGGGAUAACUUCGGGAAACCGGAGCUAAUACCGGAUAAUAUAUUGAACCGCAUGGUUCAAUAGUGAAAGACGGUUUUGCUGUCACUUAUAGAUGGAUCCGCGCCGCAUUAGCUAGUUGGUAAGGUAACGGCUUACCAAGGCAACGAUGCGUAGCCGACCUGAGAGGUGGAGCGCCCACAGUGGAGCGGAGACCCGGCCCGGACUCCUCCGGGGGGAACAGGUGGGGAUUCUCCCGCAAGGGGGAAAGCCCGGAGGGACAACCCCCGGGUGGGGAAGAAGGGUGUCGGUAUCUAAAAACUUUUUUAUAGGGAAAAAAAAAUUGUUAAAGAAAAUAUCCCCUUCUGAAGGGUACCUAAUAAAAAACCCCCGCCAAACUACGUC
rnacentral:rRNA from 1 species